rnacentral:rRNA from 1 species
GGAAUAUUGGUCAAUGGGCGAGAGCCUGAACCAGCCAAGUAGCUUGCAGGACGACGGCCCUAUGGGUUGUAAACUGCUUUUAUGCGUGGAUAAAGUGAGGGACGUGUCCUUCAUUGCAGGUACAGCAUGAAUAAGGACCGGCUAAUUCCGUGCCAGCAGCCGCGGUAAUACGGAAGGUCCGGGCGUUAUCCGGAUUUAUUGGGUUUAAAGGGAGCGUAGGCGGAAGGUUAAGCGUGACGUGAAAUGUACCGGCUCAACCGGUGAAUUGCGUCGCGAACUGGCUUUCUUGAGUGUGCGGAAGGAAGGCGGAAUUCGUGGUGUAGCGGUGAAAUGCUUAGAUAUCACGAAGAACUCCGAUUGCGAAGGCAGCUUUCCGUAGCAUUACUGACGCUGAAGCUCGAAAGUGCGGGUAUCGAACA